rnacentral:rRNA from 1 species
UACAGAGGGUGCAAGCGUUAAUCGGAAUUACUGGGCGUAAAGCGCACGUAGGCGGCUUGGCAAGUCGGAUGUGAAAUCCCUCGGCUCAACCAAGGAAGUGCAUCCGAAACUGCCGAGCUUGAGUACUUAAGAGGAUCGCGGAAUUCCCGGUGUAGAGGUGAAAUUCGUAGAUAUCGGGAGGAACACCAGUGGCGAAGGCGGCGAUCUGGGAAGAUACUGACGCUGAGGUGCGAAAGCGUGGGGAGCAAACAGG